rnacentral:rRNA from 1 species
UACGUAGGGUGCAAGCGUUAAUCGGAAUUACUGGGCGUAAAGGGUGCGCAGGCGGAUGUUCAAGCCAGAUGUGAAAGUCCCGGGCUUAACCUGGGAAGGGCGUUUGGAACUGGACAUCUAGAGUCUGUCAGAGGGGGAUGGAAUUCCACGUGUAGCAGUGAAAUGCGUAGAGAUGUGGAGGAACACCGAUGGCGAAGGCAGUCCCCUGGGAUAAGACUGACGCUCAAGCACGAAAGCGUGGGGAGCAAACAGG